UAUUGGUCAAUGGCCGCAGGGCUGAACCAGCCAAGUCGCGUGAGGGAUGAAGGUACAGAGUAUCGUAAACCUCUUUUGUCAGGGAACAAAGGCGGGGACGCGUCCCCGGAUGAGUGUACCUGAAGAAAAAGCAUCGGCUAACUCCGUGCCAGCAGCCGCGGUAAUACGGAGGAUGCGAGCGUUAUCCGGAUUUAUUGGGUUUAAAGGGUGCGCAGGCGGUCUGUUAAGUCAGCGGUCAAAGCCCGGGGCUCAACCCCGGUCCGCCGUUGAAACUGGCAGUCUCGAGUUGGAGAGAAGUAUGCGGAAUGCGCGGUGUAGCGGUGAAAUGCAUAGAUAUCGCGCAGAACUCCGAUUGCGAAGGCAGCAUGCCGGCUCCCUACUGACGCUGAGGCACGAAAGCGUGGGUAUCG
rnacentral:rRNA from 1 species